UCAGAACGAACGCUGGCGGCGUGGAUAAGACAUGCAAGUCGAACGAGAGAAUUGCUAGCUUGCUAAUAAUUCUCUAGUGGCGCACGGGUGAGUAACACGUGAGUAACCUGCCCCCGAGAGCGGGAUAGCCCUGGGAAACUGGGAUUAAUACCGCAUAGUAUCGAAAGAUUAAAGCAGCAAUGCGCUUGGGGAUGGGCUCGCGGCCUAUUAGUUAGUUGGUGAGGUAACGGCUCACCAAGGCGAUGACGGGUAGCCGGUCUGAGAGGAUGUCCGGCCACACUGGAACUGAGACACGGUCCAGACACCUACGGGUGGCAGCAGUCGAGAAUCAUUCACAAUGGGGGAAACCCUGAUGGCGCGACGCCGCGUGGGGGAAUGAAGGUCUUCGGAUUGUAAACCCCUGUCAUGUGGGAGCAAAUUAAAAAGAUAGUACCACAAGAGGAAGAGACGGCUAACUCUGUGCCAGCAGCCGCGGUAAUACAGAGGUCUCAAGCGUUGUUCGGAAUCACUGGGCGUAAAGCGUGCGUAGGCUGUUUCGUAAGUCGUGUGUGAAAGGCGCGGGCUCAACCCGCGGACGGCACAUGAUACUGCGAGACUAGAGUAAUGGAGGGGGAACCGGAAUUCUCGGUGUAGCAGUGAAAUGCGUAGAUAUCGAGAGGAACACUCGUGGCGAAGGCGGGUUCCUGGACAUUAACUGACGCUGAGGCACGAAGGCCAGGGGAGCGAAAGGGAUUAGAUACCCCUGUAGUCCUGGCAGUAAACGGUGCACGCUUGGUGUGCGGGGAAUCGACCCCCUGCGUGCCGGAGCUAACGCGUUAAGCGUGCCGCCUGGGGAGUACGGUCGCAAGAUUAAAACUCAAAGAAAUUGACGGGGACCCGCACAAGCGGUGGAGUAUGUGGCUUAAUUCGAUGCAACGCGAAGAACCUUACCUGGGCUUGACAUGUAAUGAACAACAUGUGAAAGCAUGCGACUCUUCGGAGGCGUUACACAGGUGCUGCAUGGCCGUCGUCAGCUCGUGUCGUGAGAUGUUUGGUUAAGUCCAGCAACGAGCGCAACCCCUGUUGCCAGUUACCAGCACGUGAAGGUGGGGACUCUGGCGAGACUGCCCAGAUCAACUGGGAGGAAGGUGGGGACGACGUCAGGUCAGUAUGGCCCUUAUGCCCAGGGCUGCACACGUACUACAAUGCCCAGUACAGAGGGGGCCGAAGCCGCGAGGCGGAGGAAAUCCUGAAAACUGGGCCCAGUUCGGACUGUAGGCUGCAACCCGCCUACACGAAGCCGGAAUCGCUAGUAAUGGCGCAUCAGCUACGGCGCCGUGAAUACGUUCCCGGGUCUUGUACACACCGCCCGUCACAUCAUGGAAGCCGGUCGCACCCGAAGUAUCUGAAGCCAACCGCAAGGAGGCAGGGUCCUAAGGUGAGACUGGUAACUGGGAUGAAGUCGUAACAAGGUAACC
rnacentral:rRNA from 1 species